CAACCCCAACUUAUGUGGGGACUACCCAUAUAAAAGAAACUAACAAGGAUUUUCUUACUAGCGGCGAGCGAAAAGAAAACUUUGUCUUUAUGGCAAAUGUGAGAUGCAGUGUAUGGAGCAUCAAUAUUCUAGUAUGAGAAAUUAACGAUUUAGGUCGUUCUUAAAUGAGGCCAUUUACCCACAGAGGGGAAAAAAAACUAAAAAAACUAAAUAUAACCAUGAGACCGAUAGUAAACAAGUAUCGUGAGGGAAAGUUGAAAAGAACUCUGAUUAGAGAGUCAAAUAGUACGUGAAACUGCUUAGAGGUUAAGCCCGAUGAACCUGAAUAUCCAUUAUGGAAAAUUCAUCAUUAGAGUUUUAAUAUAUUAAUAAUAUUAUAAUAAUAGUGUGCAUUUUUUCCAUAUAAGGACAUUGUAAUCUAUUAACAUAAACCAAAUUUAUCAUAAAAUAUGACUUAUAGUUUAUUUAAAUUAUUUUGCUUGCAUUUUAACAUAGAAUAAAUGUCAUUAAUUUGAUAAAGUGUUGAUAGAUUUAUAUGAAUACAGUGCGUUAAUUUUUCGGAAUUAUAUAAUAGCAUGAUUUUCAUUGAUUUUCUGUGUUUAUUAUAUGCACUUGUAUGAUUAACAAUGCGAAAGAUUCAGGAUACCUUCGGGACCCGUCUUGAAACAUGGACCAAGGAGUCUAACAUAUGUGCAAGUUAUUGGGAUAUAAACGUAAUAGCAUAAUUAACUUGACUAAUAAUGGGAUUAGUUUUUUAACUUUAGUCUUUUUUUUGUUUUAUAGCCGUACUACCACGGAAGUCUUUCGCAGAGAGAUAUGGUAGAUGGUCUAGAAGAGCAUGACAUAUACUGUUGUGUCGAUAUUUUCUCCUCGGACCUUGAAAAUUUAUGGUGGGGAUACGCAAACUUCUCAACAGGCCGUACCAAUAUCCGCAGCUGGUCUCCANNNNNNNNNNNNNNNNNNNNNNNNNGGGGAUUUCGUAGUUAUUAAGAAUGUGGAUACUUCGGCAGGCACGAACAAAAAGCUUAUCAGGCGGUAUCGUGGUCCGUAUGUGGUUCAUAAAAAACUUCCGAAUGACCGAUAUGUUAUCCGGGAUGUAGAGGGCUCCCAAAUCACCCAACUACCAUAUGAUGGUGUCCUAGAAGCCUCCAAAUUAAAGCUAUGGGUUGCCCCUGAUCAAGAUUGCACUUCUGAUAGCCAAACAAAGGCGACACCAGCCACUUAAGAUUCUUAUUUACCCCCCCUCCGUUGUUACCAAUUGGAAUCGAGGUCGAUUCCUCGUCAGGACGGCCGAGUUGUAAGAUUCCAAUUAUUUAAAGUCUGUUAAAUGCUCAUGUAUAUAUAUCGAUUGUUAGUAAUAAGUAUCGAUUGUUAGUAAUAAGUAUCGAUUGUUAGUAAUAAGUAUCGAUGGUUAGCGAUAAGUCCUCGAUAGGUCGAGAGACGGCGUCUCUCUUCUCUUCCGGCGAUGCAACGAGCAAGUUGCAUCUGCGCAAAACCCAAAGAUUAAAUCCGACCAAUACAAACUAAUCUUUAUCCUUUUUACUUAAUAAAUAGGUGUUUACAGAGUCUAACAUAUGUGCAAGUUAUUGGGAUAUAAACGUAAUAGCAUAAUUAACUUGACUAAUAAUGGGAUUAGUUUUUUAACUUUAGUCUUUUUUUUGUUUUAUAGCCGUACUACCAUGGAAGUCUUUCGCAGAGAGAUAUGGUAGAUGGUCUAGAAGAGCAUGACAUAUACUGUUGUGUCGAUAUUUUCUCCUCGGACCUUGAAAAUUUAUGGUGGGGAUACGCAAACUUCUCAACAGGCCGUACCAAUAUCCGCAGCUGGUCUCCAAGGUGAAGAGUCUCUAGUCGAUAGAAUAAUGUAGGUAAGGAAAGUCGGCAAAGUAGAUCCGUAACUUCGGGAUAAGGAUUGGCUCUGAAGAUUGAGAUAGUCGGGCUUGAUUGGGAAACAAUAACAUGGUUUAUGUGCUCGUUCUGGGUAAAUAGAGUUUCUAUCAUUUAUGAUAGUUAUUUGUUCCCUGGAUAGUUAGUUACGUAGCCAAUUGUGUAACUUUCUUGCUAAAAUUUUUAAGAAUACUAAUUUUUAAUUAGUUCUUUUAAAUUAUAACGAUUAUCAAUUAACAAUCAAUUCAGAACUGGCACGGACUUGGGGAAUCCGACUGUCUAAUUAAAACAAAGCAUUGUGAUGGCCCUAGCGGAUGUUGACACAAUGUGAUUUCUGCCCAGUGCUCUGAAUGUCAAAGUGAAGAAAUUCAAGUAAGCGCGGGUCAACGGCGGGAGUAACUAUGACUCUCCUGGAGACCAACCGAGAGAGGCUAUAGCAGUGGUAAAUCUCGCUGGAGAGAUUCCCUGUGCAGUAUGUGGGCGCCUCUUCAAUACUAGAAGGGGGCUCGGGGUUCAUAUGUCACAUCAACACAAAGACGAACUAGAUACGCAACGUCAACGUGAAGAUGUAAAACUCCGAUGGAGUGAGGAAGAAGCGUGGAUGAUGGCGAGAAAGGAGGUGGAGCUCGAAGCAAGUGGUAAUUUAAGAUUUCCUAAUAAGAAGCUAGCGGAAGUAUUUACUCACCGUAGCUCCGAAGCAAUUAAAUGUUUUCGGAAAAGGGGUGAAUAUAAGGCAAAACUGGAGCAGAUAAGAGGGCAAUCUACUCCCACCCCAGAAGCGUUGGACUCAAUUACCUCACAGCGUCGACCUAGUUUACUCGAGCGAAACCACCAAGUAUCAUCGUCGGAAGCGCAACCAAUCAAUCCAUCAGAAUAACAGUCGAACUGGGAAAUCAUGGGGAUACUACAGGGCUAUCGCCCCGUAGAAUGUAGUCCCCGGUGGAGAGCCCAGGUCUUGUAAACUAUCGUAGAUAGGGCGCAGACCGUAGGGAAGGAAACCACUCUCCAAUGCUUAUCCAACUAUCUCCUGGAAGUAUUUCCAUUACCAAACGAACCACACACCAUCGGUCGAAACAAUUUGCGAAGACCUCGAACUAGGAGACAGUUAAGACAACAAGAAUACGCACAGGUUCAGCGUCGUUGGGAUAAGAAUACUGGGAGAUGCAUUAAAUCCUUGCUUGAUGGAACAGAUGAGUCGGUUAUGCCAAACCAAGAGAUAAUGGAACCCUAUUGGAAACAAGUAAUGACGAAUCCCAGCACAUGCUCUUGCAUAACACAAGAUUCCCUAUGGAACAUUCGCUUGAGACGGUUUGGUCAGCGAUAACGCCACGCGACCUGCGGGAAAAUAAAUUAAAGUUGUCAAGUGCUCCGGGUCCUGACGGUAUCACUCCAAGAACAGCCAGGACCCUUAGGCAUUAUGCUACGCAUAAUGAACCUGAUUCUCUGGUGCGGCAAAAUACCAUUCUCUACCCGACUGGCCAGAACUAUCUUCAUUCCGAAGACUGUGACGGCAAAUCGACCGCAAGACUUUCGUCCAAUAACAGUCCCCUCGGUUUUGGUCAGGCAAUUAAACGCUGUUCUGGCUUCUCGAUUGGCUUCUAAAGUCAACUGGGAUCCAAAGCAGCGCGGUUUCCUACCUACCGAUGGGUAUGCUGAUAAUGCGACUUUGGUUGAUCUCAUUUUGCGGGAGCACCAUAAACGGUGGAAGUCAUGUUACCUUGCGACGGUGGAUGUCAGCAAGGCUUUUGACUCAGUAUCACACCAGGCCAUUAUCAAGACUUUACAGGCCUAUGGUGCUCCAACAAACUUUGUAAGCUUUAUAGAAGAACAGUAUAAAGGCGGUGAUAAUACCGUGCGCGGGGCGUUAAGCAAGGUAACCCUCUGUCUCCACUAUUAUUUAAUCUUAUCAUUGAUAGAUUACUUAGGUCCUACGCCAGAAAGAUUGGUGCCAAAGUCGGAAAUACCAUGACAAGCGCGGCAGCGUUCGCGGAUGAUCUGGUGCUAUUUGCGGAAACUCCGAUGGGGCUUCAAACAUUGUUGGAUACCACGGUAGGCUUCCUAGCCUCCGUGGGACUCUCCCUUAAUGCUGAUAAGUGCUUCACUGUCAGUAUAAAGGGGCAAGCCAAGAAGAAGUGUACUGUCGUAGAACGACAGAGCUUUUGUGUAAAGGAGCGCGAGUGUCCUUCAUUGAAGCGUACUGAAGAGUGAAAGUAGGUAUCCGGUUCACUGCGGAUGGGCGGGCUCGGUAUAGUCCAGCAGACGACCUCGGUCCGAAGCUGUUAAGAUUAACAAGAGCCCCUCUGAAACCACAACAGAAGUUAUUUGCACUUAGGACUGUCCUUAUCCCACAACUCUAUCACCAACUAACACUUGGGAGUGUGAUGAUAGGUUAAAUCGAGUUUCAUUCCGUUACACUCAACUGGAGAGGAAUCUGGAGUGGUCAGUCGGUAAAACGAUUGAUUGCAAAAGAUCUCCUCAUCGCUGAAGAUACCAAACUCAUCAGCGUCAGAGCAGUAAAUGGCGGAGUGACGUCUUUUAAAUAUUUCAUGUAUUGUGCUGGGUAUACUCGAAGCUAGAUGUACUAACCUCUAGUUUCUCUAUACUUUUGCCUGCUACCUUGGCAUUACAUCUAAAAAGGUACAAAUAUCUCAUUGUCAAAAAGAGGUGGUUUUAGUACGUAGGCGCUGUGGGACUUCAUUGUCCCGAUGAUGCAGCGAAUCGUGCAUACGAGAUUGUCCAGUAGUUGGUUGCUCGUAUCUUUAGAAGAUUUCCUUCCUCGGCGAUCAAAAAAAAAAAAAAAAUAGUUAAAUGCCUCGUCAUCUAAUUAGUGACGCGCAUGAAUGGAUUAACGAGAUUCCUUCUGUCCCUAUCUAGUAUCUAGCGAAACCACAGCCAAGGGAACGGGCUUGGAAUAAUUAGCGGGGAAAGAAGAACCUUUUGAGCUUGGUUUUUGAUUGCAAGCUUCUUGAUCAAAGUAUCACGAGUUUGUUAUAUAAUCGCAAACAAAUUCUUUAAUGAGAGAGUGCGUUUAUGUAUUUUUAAUUUGAAAUAUUUGGUAUAACUCCAAUUACUCAGGUAUGAUCCAAUUCAAGGACAUUGCUAGGUAGGGAGUUUGACUGGGGCGGUACAUCUCUCAAAUAAUAACGGAGGUGUCCCAAGGCCAGCUCAGUGCGGACAGAAACCACACAUAGAGCAAAAGGGCAAAUGCUGACUUGAUCUCGGUGUUCAGUAUACACAGGGACAGCAAAAGCUCGGUUUAAAGAGUUUUUAGAAAGAGGUGUCAGAAAAGUUACCAUAGGGAUAACUGGCUUGUGGCGGCCAAGCGUUCAUAGCGACGUCGCUUUUUGAUCCUUCGAUGUCGGCUCUUCCUAUCAUUGUGAAGCAAAAUUCACCAAGCGUUGGAUUGUUCACCCAUGCAAGGGAACGUGAGCUGGGUUUAGACCGUCGUGAGACAGGUUAGUUUUACCCUACUAAUGACAAAACGUUGUUGCGACAGCAUUCCUGCGUAGUACGAGAGGAACCGCAGGUACGGACCAAUAACAACGGCACAAUACUUGUUCGAGCGAACAGUGGUAUGACGCUACGUCCGUUGGAUUAUGCCUGAACGCCUCUAAGGUCGUAUCCGUGCUGGACUGCAAUGAUAAAUAAGGGGCAAUUUGCAUUGUAUGGCUUCUAAACCAUUAAAAGUUUAUUUUAUAAACGACAAUGGAUGUGAUGCCAAUGUUAUUUGUAACAUAGUAAAUUGGGAGGAUCUUCGAUCACCUGAUGCCGCGCUAGUUACUUAUUAAAACAUUAUUUAAUACAAUGACAAAGCCUAGAAUCAAUUGUAAACGACUUUUGUAACAGGCAAGGUGUUGUAAGUGGUUGAGCAGCUGCCAUACUGCGAUCCACUGAAGCUUAUCCUUUGCUUGAUGAUUCGA
rfam:Drosophila willistoni strain TSC#14030-0811.24 scf2_1100000003767 genomic scaffold, whole genome shotgun sequence.